rnacentral:rRNA from 1 species
UACAGAGGGUGCGAGCGUUAAUCGGAAUUACUGGGCGUAAAGGGCGCGUAGGUGGUUACGUAAGUGAGAUGUGAAAUCCCCGGGCUUAACCUGGGCAGGUCAUCUUGAACUGCGUAGCUGGAGUACGGUAGAGGGUAGUGGAAUUUCCGGUGUAGCGGUGAAAUGCGUAGAUAUCGGAAGGAACACCAGUGGCGAAGGCGGCUACCUGGACUGAUACUGACACUGAGGCGCGAGAGCGUGGGGAGCAAACAGG